CUUUUUUUAAAGAAACUUAGUUUCAGGGCUGGAUUCUACGUUGAAACAGACUGAAGCCAUCUUCGAGAUUUCUUUCCCCAGGAUUUUCUUUUAAUACUUGGAGAAAGGGGAGACUCCAUGACAGUUGCUCAGACAAACGUUUUAAGAUGUUGUGAGUGAUAAUUACUAGCAAACAUCCCACAUGGUCCCACCCCUGUGACUAAGCUAGUUAAGACUUCACAUUACAGACCCAGAUUCUGUGGGAAAAUUUACUAGAGUAGUUAAAUGCAUUCUUAGUUUUGAAUUGUUUGUUCUUAUUUAUUGAAACUUGGACUAAUGAAAGCAAAUCACCAAAGGUUUGUCAACUUGUUUGGGAAGCAAACAAUCCCAAUACCAAAACCUGGCAAAGAUAGCAAGGGGGAGAAAAGCUGGUUACCCACCUAAUCUCUAACUAGAAAUGCAAAAAUGCUAACAAAUGGUGAGUAGAUUGAAUCCACCUUAUUAAAGGGGAAAAAAAAAAUGUGGACUAUCUAGGUGACCUGCAAAUUAAGUCAGUGUCCUCUGUAAGAUGAAGAUAAAAUGUG
rnacentral:lncRNA from 1 species